rnacentral:rRNA from 1 species
AUUGAACGCUGGCGGCAUGCCUUACACAUGCAAGUCGAACGGCAGCACGGGUGCUUGCACCUGGUGGCGAGUGGCGAACGGGUGAGUAAUACAUCGGAACAUGUCCUGUAGUGGGGGAUAGCCCGGCGAAAGCCGGAUUAAUACCGCAUACGAUCCACGGAUGAAAGCGGGGGACCUUCGGGCCUCGCGCUAUAGGGUUGGCCGAUGGCUGAUUAGCUAGUUGGUGGGGUAAAGGCCUACCAAGGCGACGAUCAGUAGCUGGUCUGAGAGGACGACCAGCCACACUGGGACUGAGACACGGCCCAGACUCCUACGGGAGGCAGCAGUGGGGAAUUUUGGGCAAUGGGCGAAAGCCUGAUCCAGCAAUGCCGCGUGCGUGAAGAAGGCCUUCGGGUUGUAAAGCACUUUUGUCCGGAAAGAAAUCCUUGACUCUAAUACAGUCGGGGGAUGACGGUACCGGAAGAAUAAGCACCGGCUAACUACGUG